CUCAGUACCAGUGAGGGGGAUCCCCCACACUGGUACUGAGACACGGACCAGACUCCUACGGGAGGCAGCAGUGAGGAAUAUUGGACAAUGGGCGGGAGCCUGAUCCAGCCAUGCCGCGUGCAGGAAGACUGCCCUAUGGGUUGUAAACUGCUUUUAUACGGGAAGAAACACCCCCUCGUGAGGGGGCUUGACGGUACCGUACGAAUAAGGAUCGGCUAACUCCGUGCCAGCAGCCGCGGUAAUACGGAGGAUCCAAGCGUUAUCCGGAAUCAUUGGGUUUAAAGGGUCCGUAGGCGGGCGUCUAAGUCAGUGGUGAAAUUCUGCAGCUCAACUGUAGGACUGCCAUUGAUACUGGUCGCCUUGAAUCGUUGUGAAGUGGCUAGAAUAUGUAGUGUAGCGGUGAAAUGCUUAGAUAUUACAUAGAAUACCGAUUGCGAAGGCAGGUCACUAACAACGCAUUGACGCUGAUGGACGAAAGCGUGGGGAGCGAACAGGAUUAGAUACCCUGGUAGUCCACGCCGUAAACGAUGGAUACUAGCUGUCCGGCCUGCAUUGGUAGGCUGGGUGGCCAAGCGAAAGUGAUAAGUAUCCCACCUGGGGAGUACGUUCGCAAGAAUGAAACUCAAAGGAAUUGACGGGGGCCCGCACAAGCGGUGGAGCAUGUGGUUUAAUUCGAUGAUACGCGAGGAACCUUACCAGGGCUUAAAUGUAGUCUGACAGAUUUGGAAACAGAUCCUUCUUCGAACAGAUUACAAGGUGCUGCAUGGUUGUCGUCAGCUCGUGCCGUGAGGUGUCAGGUUAAGUCCUAUAACGAGCGCAACCCCUGUUGUUAGUUGCCAGCGAGUCAUGUCGGGAACUCUAACAAGACUGCCAGUGCAAACUGUGAGGAAGGUGGGGAUGACGUCAAAUCAUCACGGCCCUUACGCCCUGGGCCACACACGUGCUACAAUGGCAGGUACAAUGGGCAGCCACUGCGCAAGCAGGAGCGAAUCCACAAAACCUGUCUCAGUUCGGAUCGGGGUCUGCAACUCGACCCCGUGAAGCUGGAAUCGCUAGUAAUCGGAUAUCAGCCAUGAUCCGGUGAAUACGUUCCCGGGCCUUGUACACACCGCCCGUCAAGCCAUGGAAGCUGGAAGCACCUGAAGUCCGUCACCGCAAGGAGCGGCCUAGGGUGAAGCUGGUAACUGGGGCUAAGUCGUAACAAGGUA
rnacentral:rRNA from 1 species